rnacentral:rRNA from 1 species
CCUACGGGAGGCAGCAGUGGGGAAUAUUGCACAAUGGGCGAAAGCCUGAUGCAGCAACGCCGCGUGAGCGAUGAAGGCCUUCGGGUCGUAAAGCUCUGUCCUCAAGGAAGAUAAUGACGGUACUUGAGUAGGAAGCCCCGGCUAACUACGUGCCAGCAGCGGCGGUAAUCCGUAGGGGGCUAGCGUUAUCCGGAAUUACUGGGCGUAAAGGGUGCGUAGGUGGUUUCUUAAGUCAGAGGUGAAAGGCUACGGCUCAACCGUAGUAAGCCUUUGAAACUGGGAAACUUGAGUGCAGGAGAGGAGAGUGGAAUUCCUAGUGUAGCGGUGAAAUGCGUAGAGAUUAGGAGGAACACCAGUUGCGAAGGCGGCUUUCUGGACUGUAACUGACACUGAGGCACGAAAGCGUGGGGAGCAAACAGGAUUAGAUACCCGUGUAGUC